GUCAGAAGUUGCUGUGGCUUGUUCUCAAAUAAUUCAAGUUUUUACCGAAUUCUGAGGACACAACUUCCACAAAACUGUAAUGGUUAGCUGCAGACUCACUGUCAGAUGAAGUCCAACCUCUUCAGAGGUAGCUGCAUGAUGGAGAUACAGCCCAGCUUGUGAUUCAAUGAUGACUGCACCAACAGAAGACACUCUAUUGACAGAUGAAGUCUACCUCUCCAGAAGAAGAUACAUGAUUGGAAUGCAGCCCAGCUUCAAGAUUCAAUGAUGUCUUCUUCAUCGACAGGCUAUAGCUACAGACACACCAUUGUCAUAUGAAGUCUACCUCUCCAGAAGUAGAUGCUUGAUGGGAAUACAGCCCAGCUAAGAACUCAACAAUGUCUUCCCCAUCAACAGGACACAGUGAUGGUUGUCAUCUCCAAAGAGAUCUACUCAUUAACAACCAAGGAGGGGUACGGGUCUGAGACCUGCAGUUGAUGAGCUUCCUCGUGUAUAACGAGUCUGGAAAAUGAACUACUCUCUUCUUGAUAAAAGGUGUGUCAUUUGCAGAUGAUAUCUACCUGUCAAUUCUCGAGACCUGCAACAGUGCCCACUAAGUGUCAAACAACAGAACAGAGGUAUAUGUAAAAUCCCUGUGGGUGUUUUUCACUAACAUCAAAAAGUGGUCUGUUUUUGCAGCACUUAUACAAACAGAAUACCUCACAUGCCACAACAUUGAUGGGGAUUUUAUGCGGACACCAGUCUAACCCAUUUUGAGUGGUUCGUCCCUUCAGAUUGAUUACAGAUUUAAAAAAUAGGAAACAUGUUUAUGAUUAACAACACCCUUUAUUUAUAUAGAUAAUUCAGAACAUUCCUGAAAGCAUACCACCUAUAUGAUGAAUUAUAAAGUUGGUUGUAUGGUACAGAUAUGGAUGUGUUGUGUAGUUGAAGAUCGAAAUGCAAAAUAAAACAUUAUAGUUUUGUGUAACACUAAAUAUAUAGUUUGUAGUGAAUAUUUUUGAGAUGUAAUGCUGAAAAACAAGAGUUUACCGAACUCUCGUCUUUCAAA